rnacentral:rRNA from 1 species
CACGUAGGGGGCAAGCGUUGUCCGGAUUUAUUGGGCGUAAAGAGCUCGUAGGCGGCUCAGUAAGUCAGGUGUGAAACCUCCAGGCUCAACCUGGAGACGCCACCUGAUACUGCUGUGGCUAGAGUCCGGUAGGGGAGCGUGGAAUUCCUGGUGUAGCGGUGAAAUGCGCAGAUAUCAGGAGGAACACCGGUGGCGAAGGCGGGUCUCUGGGCCGAUAUUGACGCUGAGGAGCGAAAGCGUGGGGAGCGAACAGG